UCAUCACAAAGAAUAUGUGCUCAUUAAGAAUCAGAAUGUUCAAUUGUGUGAAGAUGGGAAAUGGGGAGAUUGGUAUUAUGGCCUUGGAUCCAGAAAUCAGUCCUCCACUACGUAAAUGGGAAUUAAAAGAUGAUCAGAAGACAGUUGGGAGCAGAGUGAGAAUAAGAACCUUCAACUGCCGUCUCACCUUUCAGAUCACGAAGAAGUUUUUCACAAUGAGCAGAACACUCAACCUGAAAGCGGAAUGGAUUGAGUCACUGCAGCGUGGCAGUGGAAUGGUGCUUGAUGUUGGCAAAGGAAACAUGUACUUCUAGACUUGACACUUUUCCCUUAGUUUACAGUUUCC